GUAACGAGCGCAACCCUUGUCCUUAGUUACCAGCACGUUAUGGUGGGCACUCUAAGGAGACUGCCGGUGACAAACCGGAGGAAGGUGGGGAGUGACGUCAAGUCAUCAUGGCCCUUACGGCCUGGGCUACACACGUGCUACAAUGGUCGGUACAAAGGGUUGCCAAGCCGCGAGGUGGAGCUAAUUCCAUAAAACCGAUCGUAGUCCGGAUCGCAGUCUGCAACUCGACUGCGUGAAGUCGGAAUCGCUAGUAAUCGUGAAUCAGAAUGUCACGGUGAAUACGUUCCCGGGCCUU
rnacentral:rRNA from 1 species